UGCCAAACAGCUAACCCAAAACCCAAAAAACAACAAAUCCAUAUAAAUAACCCCAAAACCCCUAACAAAAUAAUAAACAAACCAUUUUUCCCCCUAAGUAUAGGUGAUAGAAAAGGACAUAAGGAGUAACAGAAAAAGUACCGCAAGGGAACGCUGAAAGAGAAAUGAAACAAUUUAGUUAAGCCAAUAAAAGCAGAGAUUAC
rnacentral:rRNA from 1 species